rnacentral:rRNA from 1 species
GGAGCGCGAAGGUCGAACGGAUGGGAAGGGAUUCAACUUGGCGUAGUACGCUGGUCGAGUCGCGUGAGAAGGCUACCCUCUCCUCUUCGGAGGUCUGCUGGUUCGGUCGGCUCUGCGCUUCUCGUACUCGGUAGUCUACUAUGCCUUGUGCAUUUCCCUAAUUCCCCUCUCCUAGUAGGACGCCGCGACCGGCUGUCGAGGGGAGCCCAGGAGCUGGUUAGAGCAGUUGCGCGGACGAGUAAGGGAUUCGUUCUCUGCGUCUGGUCUGUCUGUCUCUUUCCAAAUCGGCGGGUUUGCUUCCUCCGGCCGAGGAACUGUGCGAGCUGGGUUUCUUUUUAAGAAAUCCCUCGUCCAUGAACGCGCCCAUGAUCUGUCGGAGCGGGUCGAUAAAACCCCACGGGUGGCUGCGAAGUUUGCAUGCGCCAGUCCUAGUUGAUUGCGCGUAUGUAGCUUUUGCGUCAGCCGCCGUCGGACAGGGUGUGGACUCCCGCUAAGGGGUGCUGGGGGUCAGCGGCGAGUAGGUCGGUUUCCCACCCGACCCGUCUUGAAACACGGACCAAGAAGUCUAACGUGUGGGCGAGUCUUUGGGGCAAAUAAUAACCCUAUAAAGGCGAAAUUAAAGUGAAGAAUUUUUUAUUAAAUUCUGGGUGGGAUCCGUCGUCUAAAGGCGAUGGCGCACCACCGGCCCGUCCAACGAUCGCAUUGCCGGUCGGGCGGAGCAAGAGCCCACACGUUGGGACCCGAAAGAUGGUGAACUAUGCCUGGGCAGGACGAGGCCAGAGGAAACUCUGGGUGGAAGUCCGCAGCGGUUCUGACGUGCAAAUCGAUCGUCGGACCUGGGUAUAGGGGCGAAAGACUAAUCGAA